UGGAACGGGAUUCUCUUAGAGAAGCCCCUAAAAGAUAAUCUAAUAAGGAACUAACUCUGAGCUUCAUCAACGGCGUAGUAUUUCAGUCUCUCUUUGCUUUCGGGAAAAACUAACUGUUCCUAAUCCGAAUGGAAGACAGUCAAUGGCUUAUCCUGCAAACUGGGUGACAAGAAAUAGAAAAUGUCGCCAACUAAUCAGGAUGGCGACAAACACGCAGGGGCGGUAACGGAGAUGGGAAGAAAGAACAAUUGCUACUCCAUGCUACGAAGACUUCUGAAGCGUAGAACUUCCGUCGGCAUCUCCCAGAAAGAUGAAGGAUUGGUCCGCUGGUGUUGUCUACCUUGCAACUGCGACAACGACAAAAGGGAUAAUUACAGAAUGCAUUUGUCUGCUAGCGAAUUUUUCAUUGAAUAUUAAAUUCUAGUCUUCGAAAUUUUUUCUUUCUACAUUUAAAAAUAAUCAAGAAAAUCAAAGGAAUAACGAAUAAGGAAGCAUGAAGCACGAGAGAACAAGUGCCAUACAACGAGAAAUUUAAUUAUUAGAUUUCUGAGACUACACAGCCAAGACGUGAUUUUUUUUCCUAUCAACCAAUAAAAUGAAUAAUUAAAUCAUAAA